rnacentral:rRNA from 1 species
AAAGUUCUAGAUAGUAAACUGAUUAUGACAAAAAUCUAUCUAUGUGUCUUGGCUAAAUCUCGUGCCAGCAGCCGCGGUAAUACGAGUAAGACUAGUGUUAUUCAUCUUUAUUAGGUUUAAAGGGUACCUAGACGGUAUAAUUAACUUAUAAUAGGGUAGUUAUAUACUAGAGUUAUGAGGGAGAGGAAAAUAUAGAGCCAUUAGUGUAAUUAAGAGAUAGAAUAUUUUUAAACGAAUGGAACUGGUGAGUGAAAACAGACCUCUAUUAAUAACUGACGUUGAGGGACGAAGGCUUGGGGCACGAAUAGGAUUAGAGACCCUAGUAGUCCAGGCAGACAAUUAUGAGUGUUAUAUUUUAAAAUAAUAGUAAAGUAUAAAUGAAAGUGUAAGCAUUCCACCUCAAGAGUAAUGCGGCAACGCAGGAACUGAAAUCAUUAGACCGUUUCUGAAACCAGUAGUGAAGUAUGUUAUUUAAUUCGAUAACCCUCGAAAAACCUUACCACAAUUUGAAUAUUUUGUUACGAUCAAGAAAAAAAAGAGUUCGAUACUUAAUACAAGUGUUGCACGGCUGUCUUUAGUUAAUGUCGUGAGAUUUAGGUUUGAUCCGCAUAAUUAACGUAAACCCAUGCUUUAUAGUGGAAAAAAAAGGUUAAUUUUUUUAUUUUUAAUCUUAUAUCCCGAUAUAUUGCAGUUCGCCAUUACAGCGGUAAUGAUAAACGGGAUCAAGACAAGUCAUCAUGACCUUAAUAUUGUGGGCUAUAGACGUGCCACA